CCCCAGCAUGGAUUAUCAAAAUGUCCAGACUAGUACCACUUGCCAUCCUCCAGAAAAUUUCCCCACUAAUGCCUUGCCAACCAGCACCCCAAAAGCCAAGCCAUUCCAGCAUCACCAACUCCUGAGGAAAUUUUUUUUGAAGUAAUUACUGAGGAAAACCCAGCUGUCUUCCUCGCCUCCCAAUUGCGGCUCUCUUCUGUGCCCAAUAGAUGUAUGAGUGGCC